CCUACGGGAGGCAGCAGUGAGGAAUAUUGGUCAAUGGGCGCGAGCCUGAACCAGCCAUGUAGCGUGCAGGAUGACUGCCCUACGGGUUGUAAACUUCUUUUAUAAAGGAGUAAAGUGAGGCACGUGUGCCUUUUUGUAUGUACUUUAUGAAUAAGGAUCGGCUAACUCCGUGCCAGCAGCCGCGGUAAUACGGAGGAUCCGAGCGUUAUCCGGAUUUAUUGGGUUUAAAGGGCGCGUAGAUGGGUUGUUAAGUCAGUGGUGAAAGUUUGCGGCUCAACCGUAAAAGUGCAAUUGAUACUGGCAGUCUAGAGUACAGAUGAGGUAGGCGGAAUGUGUGGUGUAGCGGUGAAAUGCAUAGAUAUCACGAAGAACUCCGAUUGCGAAGGCAGCUUACUAAACUGCCACUGACAUUGAUGCACGAAAGUGUGGGGAUCAAACAGGAUUAGAUACCCUUGUAGUC
rnacentral:rRNA from 1 species